CCAAAAAUCUAGCCCUCUCACUUACUAUGUACUAACAACAAAAUAAAAUAUUCUAACACCUAAGUAAUGAUGAUUAAAAAGCUUGUCGGAGCAAUAGAUCCUGUACCGCAAGGGAAAGAUGAAAUAAAUGAAAUAUUUAAGCAAAAAACAGUAGAGACUUGUACUCGUACCUUUUGCAUCAUGGUUUAACUAGUUUCUUCAAGCACAAAGAAUUAAAGUUUGUAUUCCCGAAACUGAGUGAGCUACUUCAUGGCAGCUUACUAGCAAACCCGUCUCUGUCGCAAAAGAGUGGGAAGACCAUCAAGUAGAAGUGACAAACCUAACGAGCUCAGUGAUAGCUGGUUUCUCGAGAAAAGAAUUUUAGUUCCACCUAAAGAUACUACAAUAUUUACAAAUAACAACUUAACUUUAGAGUAAUUCACACAAGGUACAGCCUGUUUGAAAAAGGACACAACCUCUAGCCGCGGGUAAUAACAUCUAAACAAUAUCAAGUGGGCCUAAAAGCAGCCAUCUUAGUAAAAUGCGUCAAAGCUUCAUAUUAUUAAAUUCCUUAACUUCAUAGACCCCCCCCCCCCCAUCGAGAACUCCUAUACAUGUAUAGAAAAUUUUAUGUUAAAACUAGUAACAAGAAACAAUUCUCUUAAGUAUGAGUGUAAGCUAUUAACCCCAACUAGCGCUUAUUCAGACAUGAAAAAUAAUAGUAACU
rnacentral:rRNA from 1 species